CCUACGGGAGGCUGCAGUGAGGAAUAUUGGUCAAUGGCCGAGAGGCUGAACCAGCCAAGUCGCGUGAGGGAUGACGGCCCUACGGGUUGUAAACCUCUUUUGUCGGGGAGCAAAGAGAGUCACGUGUGGCUCAUUGAGAGUACCCGAAGAAAAAGCAUCGGCUACCUCCGUGCCAGCAGCCGCGGUACUACGGAGGAUGCGAGCGUUAUCCGGUUUUAUUGGGUUUAAGGGGUGCGCAGGCGGGCUGUUAAGCCGGCGGUAAAAAUUCAGGGCUAAACCCGGUCGAGCCGUGGGAACUGGGAGUCUUGAGUGGGCGAGAAGGAUGCGGAAUGCGUGGUGUAGCGGUGAAAUGCAUAGAUAUCACGCAGAACGCCGAUUGCGAAGGCAGCAUACCGGCGCCCAACUGACGCUGAGGCACGAAAGCGUGGGGAUCGAACAGGAUUAGAUACCCUUGUAGUC
rnacentral:rRNA from 1 species